AUGUAGUGCUCACAUUCUUCAUUUGAACAACCUCGGUCUCAUCGUAUAAUUUCUAUAACGUCAACAAGAUAGUAUUAUAUGAUGAGACAGAGGUUGUUCGGAUGAAGAAUGCGAGCACUACAU